rnacentral:rRNA from 1 species
UACGUAGGUGGCAAGCGUUGUCCGGAAUUAUUGGGCGUAAAGCGCGCGCAGGCGGUCCUUUAAGUCUGAUGUGAAAGCCCACGGCUCAACCGUGGAGGGUCAUUGGAAACUGGGGGAUUUGAGUGCAGGAGAGAAGAGUGGAAUUCCACGUGUAGCGGUGAAAUGCGUAGAGAUGUGGAGGAACACCAGUGGCGAAGGCGACUCUUUGGCCUGUAACUGACGCUGAGACGCGAAAGCGUGGGGAGCAAACAGG